rnacentral:rRNA from 1 species
CGUGGAGGACGAAGUUCUUCGGAAUGUAAACUCCUGUCAGGGGCAGCCAAGUUCUGAGGCGCCCCAGAGGAAGGCACGGCUAACUCUGUGC